rnacentral:rRNA from 1 species
UCCAGCGAGAGCCAUAUCUCCAGUUCUCGCCUGGUUUCCCACUGAAGCUAAGCAGCGUUGAGCCUGGCCAGUACCUGGAUGCGAGACCUCCUGGGAAAAACUAAGGUUGCUGCAGGAA